rnacentral:misc_RNA from 1 species
AGUCCCUGGNUCUGGGGAUAGCUGAACUGAAGCCACGGCCUUGUUGAUGCACGGGCCUGGUGUCCUUUGGGCAGUGCCCUCCCUCCAUGGACAUUGUCUGUUGGAGGCUGGUUACCUUCAGCAAGUUCUGGAGGGAGUUCCCCUUUGUCCCAAGUUGGACAGGGCACAUAGCAGCCAGGCAGCCUUCAGGGCUGGCCCUGGGGCCCUCUGCGGGAGACAGCUUUGGUAGGCAUGAUGCCAGCGAUAUAAGUAAUGUAAUCUGUUGCCCUCUCCGCGUCUAGGGGAAUAAGCAUGUGUCUCAUGGGCCAGGAUAGGCGCAUCAGCUGUCACAUGACUCGAAGUGUGUCUCASUUGGCAGAGUGGCUGCCUAGCUUGNUNACAGCCGCGNCUUCCAUCCCCAGCCCACAAAAACCAGGUGUGAUGGCGCAUGCCUGUCUGUAGUCAGAGCGUGGAAGUGGAGGCUGGAGGAUGAGUGGCCAGUCUGGGAUACACGAGCCUCUGGCGUUUUAAAAGGGGGUGGGGGUGGGAAUAAGAAUUAUGACUGACAGCUUNUGUCUCUGUGUGAGGGACCCCUGGUUCCAAAUGGCUG